rnacentral:rRNA from 1 species
UACGUAGGGGGCAAGCGUUGUCCGGAAUCAUUGGGCGUAAAGAGCGUGUAGGCGGCCUGAUAAGUCGGUUGUGAAAGUCAAGGGCUCAACCCUUGAAUGCCGGCCGAUACUGUCAGGCUAGAGUCCGGAAGAGGCGAGUGGAAUUCCUGGUGUAGCGGUGAAAUGCGCAGAUAUCAGGAGGAACACCGAUGGCGAAGGCAGCUCGCUGGGACGGUACUGACGCUGAGGCGCGAAAGCUAGGGGAGCAAACGGG